rnacentral:lncRNA from 1 species
UGGAGAUCAAUUUAUUAUACUGUGAUCUUCUUUCUAUUUCAGUUUACUUAUAAGCGACCGUUUAAUUCUUCAUCAAAAAAGGAAAUCAUCAGCUUCAAGGUUAUAAAGGUACCUACCAUAAUUUUAUCUACUUUGAGGCAUGGUAGUAUUUGAUAAAGGAGCCUGACUAUAUGACUAAAGAAGGAUUAGAUUUUUUUGUUUAAAAUAAAAUAGAAAAGCGUGUUCAGUUACUAUUGGAUUAAUCAUUUUACAUUUUGAGGGUUGCUUUUUUAUUCUAAUCAUUACUUAGAACUUGGCGAUAUUUAUUAUCAUUCUCACAAAUGGAACCAGGUUUCUGUUUUGGUUCUUAUACAUCCUUGGCUCUCAAAUAUUCGACUUUGAACGUUCAUGUGAAAGUAAAUCCAGAAUACUAUUAUUACGCAUGCAAUUUGUAACGUGUUGUAUUAAUUUUUUUAGCAGUGGGUCAGUAUCUCUGCUGAUGAACUUUCACUCCACGAGGGUAUAAUUAGAUAAGUGGUCAGUAUUUUGGUAGUGACAUGAUUUGUAACAAACCUCUCUAAAAUUGUCCGUUUAUAAAUUUUGACAUUAUAAAGAAACUAAGGUUUCAACUCCAUUAUGCAAAGUUUAUCAUAGAUAUAGGAAACUGUGGUGUGAGUGCCAAUGAGACAACUCUCCAUCCAAAUAACAAUUUAAAAAAAGGUAAACCAUUAUAGGUCAAUUUACGGCCUUCAAUCAUAGAUUUUGCUAUUUUAUAUGUCCCUGUUUGUCUUAUACAAUGUAUCUCUUCAACUUUUUCGGUUCUGAUUCAUCUCUGGCUUCUUAAUAUUUGGCUUUGCGCGUUUUAGAUGAAUGUACAUCAUGGAAAGCACGUCGGACGUAUGCAAUUCAUAACGUGUUGUUUUCAUAUUUUAGCACUCGCUCGAUAUCUCUGUUGGUGGACUAUCGGUCCCGGAAGGUAUCAUCAGCUCAUUAGUCAGGACUUCAGUACUCGAUAUCUCUGUUGGUGGACUAUCGGUACCGGAAGGUAUCAUCAGCUCAUUAGUCAGGACCUCAGUACUGACAUUACAUGAUUUAUAAUAGAACUUUCGUAAAGUCCGUUUAUGAAUUUUGAAAUAAAAAGAUAUUAAGGUUUAGACUCCCUUAAGCUAGAAUAUAAAUCAACACCAACAUAUCUUUGAUUAAAUCGGUAAAACAGGCAUUUCGGUUGCACUUUGUAAA